rnacentral:rRNA from 1 species
AUUGAACGCUGGCGGCAUGCCUUACACAUGCAAGUCGAACGGCAGCACGGGGGCAACCCUGGUGGCGAGUGGCGAACGGGUGAGUAAAGCAUCGGAACGUACCCGGAAGUGGGGGAUAACGUAGCGAAAGUUACGCUAAUACCGCAUAUUCUGUGAGCAGGAAAGAGGGGGAUCGCAAGACCUCUCGCUUUCGGAGCGGCCGAUGUCGGAUUAGCUAGUUGGUGGGGUAAAGGCCUACCAAGGCGACGAUCCGUAGCUGGUCUUAGAGGAUGAUCAGCCACACUGGGACUGAGACACGGCCCAGACUCCUACGGGAGGCAGCAGUGGGGAAUUUUGGACAAUGGGGGCAACCCUGAUCCAGCCAUGCCGCGUGAGUGAAGAAGGCCUUCGGGUUG